rnacentral:rRNA from 1 species
UACGAAGGGGGCUAGCGUUGCUCGGAAUCACUGGGCGUAAAGGGUGCGUAGGCGGGUUUUUAAGUCAGGGGUGAAAUCCUGGAGCUCAACUCCAGAACUGCCUUUGAUACUGAAGAUCUUGAGUCCGGGAGAGGUGAGUGGAACUGCGAGUGUAGGGGUGAAAUUCGUAGAUAUUCGCAAGAACACCAGUGGCGAAGGCGGCUCACGUGGCCCGGUACUGACGCUGAGGUGCGAAAGCGUGGGGAGCAAACAGG